rnacentral:lncRNA from 1 species
UUGCUUACUGUUUCAGAAAUGCGUUUUACUGCCCCUGCUUUUACCUUGAUCGCUUUUCUGGGUGUGAAAGUAUCCCUCAGAUUAUUUAUGUAAAUUUCUGGUGAGAUUUCUAUGUCUACUAGGUUGAUUUAGCAGACACGUAAGUCAGAAAUGGUGGUUCAAACAUUUCCCAGGGAAAGUUGGUGAGUAACUGAGCACGCUUUAUUAGGGUAUUCUUAGCUGUUUAGAAUGUUUGUUGUGGGCCCCUCAUGUGUAUUUGACAUUUUCAGUUGUUUUUUAAAAUAUGUUUGAAGCAUGCCUUGGCUUGGCAUUGUCAGGACAUAGAAGAGUUGUCACUGAAGAGGAGAGGGGCCCCCUGCCUGUCUGUGGGCAGCCUCAUAGGUGACAGCAUUGAGACAUGGAAGUCCUCACAGAUGGUGACUGAUCUUGGGCUGUUGAGGUGGCUGGGCAGGUAAAGACUGUUUGCGGGCCAAGUCUGACAACCUGACUUGUUGACGGUGAAGGGGCAGAACUGACGUCUGGAAAUUAUUCUGCCUGGCUUGGAAGAGCCAUGGUGUCUGUGUGUUCACAUGUGUUUAAUAAAAGAUUAGUCAAAAAGCAAGGCUUGCUGCUCCUAAGGCAGGCAGCUCCUCUAGUCUAGUGAGAGGGUGGACAAGCAAAGUGCUCUGCUGAGCCUUUCCUGAACCGUACAGGUGGGUUUCUCUGCAGACCAGAGGGUAACCCUAGCCUUCUCAGGGAAGAGCUAAUGCUUGAUUGGAGGGCUUGGAGCAGAAACCCUUAUAUGACCUAAGGACAAAAAUGUCAGAAGGAUGAGGCACAGUGGGAAUCUUAAACCUCCUCAGCCUUAUUUUUAUCUUAGUCUGCAUCAGAAGACACAGAAGGCAGUGUUAGCAUAGGGUGUGCUUAGCCCUGCUGAUUUGGGAAUAAAAUUUGCCUGUAAAAACAAUAUCCAUAUGACCUAACACCUUCAUUCUCCAACAAAAAGAAAAAGGAAAAAAUAUAUAUAUACACAUACACAUAUAUAUGUAUGUGUAUGUACACACACACACACACACACACACACACACACACACACCCUUUCACUUGAGUCUGAAUGAAUCUUGGGAGUUCAAAAAGUUCUGCCUACUAUUUGAGAGGGAAAAGCUUCUGUUAUACAAACCACCAGUGGUACAUUGGAGAACCUACAGUUCUUUGGUCUCUGCCACAUGAGUGUUUGGUCUAAGGCUUUGGAGUCAAGCUUACAGCAGCGUCAGGACUUCUCAGCCAGAGUGACUUAUAGAACAAGAACCAUGAGCAAGCAGAAACCUAGUGAUGCCCACCAUCUUCCCACUGUAUCUUCCAGGCAAGGUUCAUGGGAGGAUGCUUUGCCUCAGGAAGAGGGUCUGUCCUGAGCUCCUAGGACUGUUCCCUUCCCAUGUGACACAUUUACUGUUUUUUGGUUUUGUUUUAUUUUUUCCCCCACGGCAUCAAGUUUAAGUCCUUUCGGUGGCAAGAAGGGCUUCCUUGCUUCUGGGGACAGCAUUAGUACCAGGAAAGGAGAGUGGACAGUGGACCACAGUCUUCCCCCUAGGAAGAGGCCAGGAACCAGAUCUGAGAUCUUUUGAAGUUACAUCCUUCUACUCCAUUUAUGGUGUUAGCUCCGAUCUGUCCCAUAUUGCUGCAUACCUGUGUUUCUUCCUGUAGCCUAACAUUUCUCUCAGCUCCCCAAAACAUCCAGCCACCCGUUUGUAGCACUGGAAAAGGGGGACCUGUGAAGUCUUGAAAAUGAGUGAUGUAGCUCAUUAGUUCGCUCGCUCCUCUCCCCAGAGACGCGCGCUCCUGCUCACUCCGUGCUGCGGGUGCUGCGGCGGGCAUGAGCAAGCCGAGCCUUGCUGCCGAGGUCUGGGUUUACAUA